AGAGUUUGAUCAUGGCUCAGAUUGAACGCUGGCGGCAGGCCUAACACAUGCAAGUCGAACGGUAACAUUUCUAGCUUGCUAGAAGAUGACGAGUGGCGGACGGGUGAGUAAUGCUUGGGAACUUGCCUUUGCGAGGGGGAUAACAGUUGGAAACGACUGCUAAUACCGCAUAAUGUCUACGGACCAAACGGGGCUUUUAGCUCCGGCGCAAAGAGAGGCCCAAGUGAGAUUAGCUAGUUGGUAAGGUAAUGGCUUACCAAGGCAACGAUCUCUAGCUGUUCUGAGAGGAAGAUCAGCCACACUGGAACUGAGACACGGUCCAGACUCCUACGGGAGGCAGCAGUGGGGAAUAUUGCACAAUGGGGGAAACCCUGAUGCAGCCAUGCCGCGUGUGUGAAGAAGGCCUUCGGGUUGUAAAGCACUUUCAGUUGUGAGGAAAAGUUAGUAGUUAAUACCUGCUAGCCGUGACGUUAACAACAGAAGAAGCACCGGCUAACUCCGUGCCAGCAGCCGCGGUAAUACGGAGGGUGCGAGCGUUAAUCGGAAUUACUGGGCGUAAAGCGCACGCAGGCGGCUUGUUAAGCUAGAUGUGAAAGCCCCGGGCUCAACCUGGGAUAGUCAUUUAGAACUGGCAGACUAGAGUCUUGGAGAGGGGAGUGGAAUUCCAGGUGUAGCGGUGAAAUGCGUAGAUAUCUGGAGGAACAUCAGUGGCGAAGGCGACUCCCUGGCCAAAGACUGACGCUCAUGUGCGAAAGUGUGG
rnacentral:rRNA from 1 species